rnacentral:rRNA from 1 species
CAGUAGCCGCGGGAAUACAGAGGAUGCAAGCGUUAUCCGGAAUGAUUGGGCGUAAAGCGUCUGUAGGUGGCUUUUCAAGUCCGCCGUCAAAUCCCCGGGCUCAACCCUGGACAGGCAGUGGAAGCUACCAAGCUGGAGUACGGUAGGGGCAGAGGGAAUUUCCGGUGUAGCGGUGAAAUGCGUAGAGAUGUGGAGGAACACCAGUGGCGAAGGCGACUCUCUGGUCUGUAACUGACGCUGAGGAGCGAAAGCGUGGGGAGCGAACAGGAUUAGAUACCCCCGUAGUCCCUGUCUCUUAUAC